CACAAAUCUAUGAGUUUGUUUGGUGGCGCAUGAGCUUAUCGUAAACUAAACAUCUUCUCGCUUAAUAUUGGUAUAUGUUCGGCACCUUUAGCAGAGCUAUGGGGAGUGUAUUACGGUCUCUAUAUUGCUUGGGGGAAGAGAGUGGAACGGUUGGAGUUAGAGGUGGACUCGGAGUUGGUGGUUGGGUUUCUAAAGACAAGGAUAAGUGAUUUUCAUUCGUCGUCUUUCCUGGUACGGUUGUGCCAUAGCUUUAUCUCAAGGGACUGGAUAGUCCGUAUUUCUCACGUGUAUAGAGAGUCUAACCGUCUUGUCGAUGAGUUAGCUAACUAUGCUUUUUCUUUGCCAUUAGACUUUCAUACUUUUAAGGCUUGUCCGCCGUGUGUGGCGUUGAUUGUGGAUGACGACAUACGAGGAACUACAGUUUCUCGGAAUGUUCGGGUGUAAUUUUUUCAUUUUAUUUUUAAUAAAAAACAGGAAGAAAUCCCUGUGCCUCACA
rnacentral:sRNA from 1 species